CUGCUAUCGGGAUGGGACUAAGACAUGCUAGUUGAGCGCCUUAAGCUAUGAUGAGGCGCAGCGUACAGCUCAGUAACGAAUGGCUAACCUGCCCUUGGGACAGGGACAACUCCGGGAAACUGGAGCUAAUCCCUGAUAGGCGAAGGUUUCUGGAAUGGAUCUUCACUAAAAAGACGUCUAGAUCAUGCUUUUAGGCGUUGCCCAAGGAUGGGGCCGUUUCCGAUCAGGUUGUUGGUGAGGUAAUGGCUCACCAAGCCUAUAACCGGUACGGGCCGUGAGAGCGGGAGCCCGGAGAUGGGCACUGAGACAAGGGCCCAGGCCCUACGGGGCGCAGCAGUCGCGAAAACUCCGCAAUACACAAAAGUGUGACGGGGCCAUCCCGAGUGCUGUCCGCUGAGGACAGCUUUUCCCUAGUGUAAAUAGCUAGGGGAAUAAGGAGAGGGCAAGCCUGGUGUCAGCCGCCGCGGUAAAACCAGCUCUCCGAGUGGUGUGGAUACUUAUUGGGCUUAAAGCAUCCGUAGCUGGCCGGAAAAGUCCCUCGUUAAAUCCAGCGAUUUAAUCGUUGAAUCGCGGGGGAUACUAUCUGACUAGGGGGCGGAAGAGGCCGACGGUAUUCUUGGGGUAGGGGUGAAAUCUUAUAAUCCCAAGAGGACCACCAGUGGCGAAGGCUAUCGGCUAGAACGCGCCCGACGGUGAGGGAUGAAAGCUGGGGGAGCGAACCGGAUUAGAUACCCGGGUAGUCCCAGCUGUAAACGAUGCAGGCUAGGUGUUAACAUGGCUACGAGCCGUGUUAGUGCCGCAGGGAAGCUGUUAAGCCUGCCGCCUGGGAAGUACGGUCGCAAGACUGAAACUUAAAGGAAUUGGCGGGGGAGCACCACAAGGGGUGAAGCUUGCGGUUUAAUU
rnacentral:rRNA from 1 species